GUCUAUGGCCAUGCCACCCUGAACGAGCCCUGUCUGAUCUCGGAAGCUAAGCAGGGUGGGGCCUGGUUAGUACUUGGAUGGGAGACCGCCUAAAAAGACCAGGUGCUGUAGGUA
rnacentral:rRNA from 1 species